rnacentral:rRNA from 1 species
GACGAACGCUGGCGGCGUGCUUAACACAUGCAAGUCGAGCGAUGAAUUUUCUUCGGAAAUGGAUUAGCGGCGAACGGGUGAGGAACACGUGAAGAAUCUGCCCUCCACUUUGGGAUAACACAGGGAAACCUGUGCUAAUACCGAAUAUUGAAACAUAAGUGGCAUCACUGAGUUUUGAAAGAAUUUCGGUGUGGGAUGGGCCCGCGGCCUAUCAGCUUGUUGGUGGGGUAAUGGCCUACCAAGGCGACGACGGGUAGCCGGCCUGAGAGGGUGACCGGCCACACUGGGACUGAGAUACGGCCCAGACUCCUACGGGAGGCAGCAGUGGGGAAUAUUGCACAAUGGGCGCAAGCCUGAUGCAGCGACGCCGCGUGAGGGAUGACGGCCUUCGGGUUGUAAACCUCUUUCAGUAGGGACGAAGCGCAAGUGACGGUACCUACAGAAGGAGGACCGGCCAACUACGUGCCAGCCGCCGCCGUAA